rnacentral:rRNA from 1 species
GACGUAGGGUGCGAGCGUUGUCCGGAUUUAUUGGGCGUAAAGAGCUCGUAGGCGGCUUGUUGCGUCGACCGUGAAAACCCGGGGCUCAACUUCGGGCUUGCGGUCGAUACGGGCGGGCUAGAGUUCGGUAGGGGAGACUGGAAUUCCUGGUGUAGCGGUGAAAUGCGCAGAUAUCAGGAGGAACACCGGUGGCGAAGGCGACUCUUUGGUCUGUAACUGACGCUGAGGCGCGAAAGCGUGGGGAGCAAACAGG